AUUGAACGCUGGCGGCAUGCUUUACACAUGCAAGUCGAACGGCAGCGCGGGGCAACCUGGCGGCGAGUGGCGAACGGGUGAGUAAUAUAUCGGAACGUACCCAGAAGUGGGGGAUAACGUAGCGAAAGUUACGCUAAUACCGCAUACGAUCUACGGAUGAAAGUAGGGGACCGCAAGGCCUUAUGCUUUUGGAGCGGCCGAUAUCUGAUUAGCUAGUUGGUGAGGUAAAGGCUCACCAAGGCGACGAUCAGUAGCUGGUCUGAGAGGACGACCAGCCACACUGGAACUGAGACACGGUCCAGACUCCUACGGGAGGCAGCAGUGGGGAAUUUUGGACAAUGGGCGCAAGCCUGAUCCAGCAAUGCCGCGUGAGUGAAGAAGGCCUUCGGGUUGUAAAGCUCUUUUGUCAGGGAAGAAACGGUAGAGGCUAAUAUCCUUUGCUAAUGACGGUACCUGAAGAAUAAGCACCGGCUAACUAC
rnacentral:rRNA from 1 species